GCUGGAGUUUGUCUGACAAAUCAAAGAAGUCAAGAAGAGGUUUGUGAAGAAAGACAACAAGAAGCUGCACAACAUAUGAACCCACAGAGUAUGGAUCUCUCCACUGCUGGUAAAGUGGAAGAGAAGAGCUUCUGGCCUAAUCGCUCAAGAGCACAUUUCCUGCCUCCCGCAUGAUGAGAUGGAGUCAACAGAGGCUGUUCAAGGCUUUUUUUUGGUAUUUAACCUAAACCUGGAUCUCAAACACAGUACGCUUCUGUCAAAUCAGCCCCCUGCCUCGUACAGCCCAUGAUACAGAAAAAAGUAUGAUGGCAUCAGUGUGACCUUUAAAAUCUAAAUAUAGUAACACACUUUGUAGAUUGUUUCACUGUGCUGUUAGUAAAAAUAUGUUUCUUAAAAUAAGUUCCCCAUCCUGACGUUCUCUUUUGUACAGAGGAAGUCGCUCUCUGCUGCAGUGACUGCCAUCUUUACCCCAACACAGGCUCGCUCCAGGAUGUUUGGAUAAGAUGACAUUUGAAACUCCUGAGGAUCAAAGUUAUGUUUUUUCCUUGCAUUACCAGCCACACUGAAUGUUGUAGGGGAAAAAAAUAGAGGAGCUCCUGAUGUGAGCAAUAUUGUAACCUGCCUGGUAUGGCUACACUAUGAAUAGGUAACUGACUGAGCCUAAAUAGGGACUGAUGUUAAUGAUUGUGGUGUACAUGAACAGAGAACUCAUUCAAUGGAAAGGUUGUAGAGGACAGUUUAUUUGAAUAAUGACACUGAUUUUAAGACAGAAAUCUGAAUAUUGGUGAUUCACCAAAACAAAUGGAAAAAAAUCAUAAUUAUUCCACCAACAAAAACGUGUACAAAAUCAGUGUGUACAGUGAAGCGCUAAAAGCUUCUCACCUCCUUUUUGGAAACAGAAUCAAGGUCUCAGCAUGCCAAUUAAAAUUACAAAAGGUUCUGCUGCCCCCCACCUUUCCUUUUGAGCAUAGCAGCAAGUAUCAUGUAAUGAAAUGCUGCCAGCGAAGGAGGGCUGUACUCAGACCAGAUUGUACAGUCAAAGCCAGAUGGCAAGUCACACAUCAAAAGGACAGCUGGUUACCAGAGUCUGAAAAGGCAUCUUUAUAGCUCCGAACCUAAUUAGUUACAACUAAACAAAUCACACCGAGAUGUAAUAUUCAGGCCAUGCCAAUGAUUCAUCAUAAAAUGCGACAUACACAUAACAUAAUUAAGUUUUAACUGUUUUUGUGUGCAAGCUGCAACAUUUCAAAAUGGCCAAUCAAGCUGGUUCCAUCAGCGGUCAAAGCCUCCUCUGAUCUAUAUUUUAGAAAAAUGAAAGCAGACCCUUCAGCUGCUACUGAUGGUGCAGAUGAGGAUCCCAUUUCUUAAAUAUGUGCACAUUGACUACACUGAUAUGGUCAAUGCUUCAGCUCGGUGCGUCUCCCAGGGAGCAUCAUCCUCUCUUUCUGCCGAACCUAUAAAUUAUAUCCAGAAAGACAAAAUCAACAGUGAACUUUAAAAAAGUGAUCAUCACGUAUAGCACAAACACAACAGGACUGUUGCACCGACCCCUUUUAUAAUUCUUCUGCGAAGUUCCUCCUGUGACAGUGGCCGUUCUUCCUCAUCAGUGACGGGAGACUCUUCUGCAUCAUAAUCCACACUGAGGAAUCCAACCAACACAGAAACUGGUUAUGAAACAGUCUCAAUUUAAUACGGAUGCCUCCAUGUGACCUACAUAACAAACAAGACCAUCAGCAAGAAGAUAAAAGAUAAAAGGCCCACCUGUUGAUUGCAGGUUGGAUAUCAAUAUUCUGCUGAAGCAGUUCUGGGUUUUGCCCCAAAAGAAAUUUGGCCAGAUCUUUUGGAUUGUAGUCUUUCUCCAGAUCCUGUAAGAGACAUUAUAUUGCAAUGCAGAAAUGAAAGAACGUACUGCAUGUACAACAGGAAUGUAUGUGGGAAAGUCAGGACCGAACCACAGGUUGAAAAUUUACUUUAGAAUUGAGGAAAGCUUGUAUGGUGAGCAUCUCGUUGGUCUUCUGUUCCACCAGACCCAGGUAGGACAUGAUGUUGUUGUCACUGAUCCCUGUAGAGGAGCCGAGUGCAUCCUCUAUCACUGAGCGGUCACACUCCAUUUUAGAGAAAAUACUGUUCACUCCUGUGAGAUGGGAGAAACAAGAGUCAGGAGUACCUCAGAUAUUAAUUAAAUGUAGAUAAAUAUAUAUAUAUAUGUAUGAGUAUUUAAGAAAAGUCUGAUAAUUUCAUGGGGCAUUUCCUAAAGAAAAUAAAAUAAUAUUUAAUUUGAUACUAAUUUUAGGUUUAUUUCCCUAAAAUCCUCGAGGAACUGCUCCAGUUUAAUCCAUGUAAAUAUUCAUUGAUCAUUCCUUUAGUACACAACAGUGUUUUUCAUGUAUUUUGUGUUGAAUUGUAUGCUUGCUGGUGGAAAAAACAUUCUGCAUGUUGAUCUGACCUGCUGUGCACUGACUAAAAGACUCCAGGUUGUGCUACCAGUUCACUGGAAUUAAACUAAUUGAACACUG